UACGUAGGGGGCAAGCGUUGUCCGGAUUUAUUGGGCGUAAAGCGCUCGCAGGUGGUUUGUCGCGUCGUGCGUGAAAGACCCCGGCUCAACUGGGGAGGGUCGUGCGAUACGGGCGAACUGGAGGCCAGUAGGGGGAUGCGGAAUUCCGGGUGUAGUGGUGGAAUGCGUAGAGAUCCGGAGGAACACCGGAGGCGAAGGCGGCUUGCUGGACCUGGUCUGACGCUGAGGCGCGAAAGCGUGGGGAGCGAACAGG
rnacentral:rRNA from 1 species